AUGAUCAGUGUUGUGCCAUCUGCUCAGAUCACUGAUUUCCAAGGCUCUGAGAAAGAAACAUUUGUUCAAAUUGGAACCAAUAGACCAUUAUCAAGUCUACAACUGAAUGAAACAAGGUGCAGAUUUGGUCACUGGAUCUUAAAGCAGAUCUGCAACUUUUGGAGACAAAUCCAGGACCUGCUUCCAAAAAAUGAGCUACCAGGCUUACCCAUAGCCAUAAGUAGUCUCACGAGAGUGUUAAAUGAAAACGCUUUUGGUUCUGUUAUGCCUCUCUCGGCUGGUCAGACAAAGCAGUCCACCGAUGAUAAAGAAAUCCCAGCUGAAACUAAAGAAGGGUCUGUACAAGUUAAGAGAGGCAAAUCAUGCUCAUUUAUCUUCUGGUCUCAAGUUAGCAUGUUCUUCUCGUCCUCCCAUCCCCAGAGUAGGGAGAUUUCUUAA
rnacentral:rRNA from 1 species